rnacentral:rRNA from 1 species
GGAAUAUUGGGCAAUGGGCGCAAGCCUGACCCAGCAACACCGCGUGAAUGAUGAAGGUCUUCGGAUUGUAAAGUUCUGUGAUGGGGGACGAAGAAAGUGACGGUACCCCAAGAGCAAGCCACGGCUAACUACGUGCCAGCAGCCGCGGUAAUACGUAGGUGGCAAGCGUUGUCCGGAAUGACUGGGCGUAAAGGGUACGUAGGUGGCUAUUCAAGUUAGUUGUGAAAUCCCGGGGCUUAACUCCGGUGCUACAAUUAAGACUGUUUAGCUUGAGUGCAGGAGGGGUAAGUGGAAUUCCUAGUGUAGCGGUGGAAUGCGUAGAUAUUAGGAAGAACACCGGUGGCGAAGGCGACUUACUGGACUGUAACUGACACUGAAGUACGAAAGCGUGGGGAGCAAACA